rnacentral:rRNA from 1 species
UACGUAGGGGGCUAGCGUUGUCCGGAUUUAUUGGGCGUAAAGAGCUCGUAGGCGGUCUGUCGCGUCCGUUGUGAAAACUCGAGGCUCAACCUCGGGCUUGCAGUGGAUACGGGCAGACUAGAGUGCGGUAGGGGAGACUGGAAUUCCUGGUGUAGCGGUGGAAUGCGCAGAUAUCAGGAGGAACACCGAUGGCGAAGGCAGGUCUCUGGGCCGCAACUGACGCUGAGGAGCGAAAGCAUGGGGAGCGAACAGG